UUAGAGUUUGAUCCUGGCUCAGGAUGAACGCUAGCGGCGGGCCUAAUACAUGCAAGUCGAGGGGUAUAAGUCUUUCGGGACUUAGAGACCGGCGCACGGGUGCGUAACACGUAUGUAACUUACCCCUAACAGGAGGAUAGCCUUCCGAAAGGAAGAUUAAUACUCCAUAGUAUAUCUAGGAGGCAUCUUUUAGAUAUUAAAGCUGAGGCGGUUAGGGAUAGGCAUGCGUCCCAUUAGCUAGUUGGUAAGGUAACGGCUUACCAAGGCGACGAUGGGUAGGGGGCCUGAGAGGGUGAUCCCCCACACUGGUACUGAGACACGGACCAGACUCCUACGGGAGGCAGCAGUAAGGAAUAUUGGGCAAUGGGCGAGAGCCUGACCCAGCCACGCCGCGUGCAGGAUGACGGCCCUAGAGGUUGUAAACUGCUUUUGUAUAGGAAGAACAGCUCUAACGUGUUGGGGUCUGACGGUACUAUAAGAAUAAGCAUCGGCUAACUCCGUGCCAGCAGCCGCGGUAAUACGGAGGAUGCAAGCGUUAUCCGGAUUCAUUGGGUUUAAAGGGUGCGUAGGCGGGAUGCUAAGUCAGGGGUGAAAUCUCACAGCUUAACUGUGAAACUGCCUUUGAUACUGGUGUCCUUGAGUGUGGUUGAAGUGGGCGGAAUGUGUAGUGUAGCGGUGAAAUGCUUAGAUAUUACACAGAACACCGAUUGCGAAGGCAGCUCACUAAGCCAUUACUGACGCUGAUGCACGAAAGCGUGGGGAGCAAACAGGAUUAGAUACCCUGGUAGUCCACGCUGUAAACGAUGAUCACUCGUUGUUGGCGAUAUACGGUCAGCGACCAAGGGAAACCGAUAAGUGAUCCACCUGGGGAGUACGAUCGCAAGGUUGAAACUCAAAGGAAUUGACGGGGGCCCGCACAAGCGGUGGAGCAUGUGGUUUAAUUCGAUGAUACGCGAGGAACCUUACCCGGGCUUGAAAGACAGUGGACGUAUGGGGAAACUCAUAUUCCUUCGGGCUGCUGUCUAGGUGCUGCAUGGUUGUCGUCAGCUCGUGCCGUGAGGUGUUGGGUUAAGUCCCGCAACGAGCGCAACCCCUACUGUUAGUUGCCAGCGAGUAAAGUCGGGGACUCUAACGGAACUGCCGGUGCAAACCGAGAGGAAGGUGGGGAUGACGUCAAAUCAUCACGGCCCUUAUGUCCGGGGCUACACACGUGCUACAAUGGUUGGUACAGAGAGUUGCCAUCACGUGAGUGAGAGCUAAUCUAUAAAGCCAAUCUCAGUUCGGAUCGUAGUCUGCAACUCGACUACGUGAAGCUGGAAUCGCUAGUAAUCGCGCAUCAGCCAUGGCGCGGUGAAUACGUUCCCGGGCCUUGUACACACCGCCCGUCAAGCCAUGGGAGUUGGGAGCGCCUGAAGUCCGUAACCGCAAGGAGCGGCCUAGGGUGAAAUCAAUGACUGGGGCUAAGUCGUAACAAGGUAACC
rnacentral:rRNA from 1 species